ACGCGGGCCUCGAACUCACGGACCGCGAGACCGUGACCUGGGCCGAAGUCGGCCGCUCAACCGACUGAGCCAUUCAGGCGCGCCUUUAGUAAUCUCUUUAUUUUAACCGUCACGUUGGCUGACAGCGAACUGAAUUCCUUUUUGGAAAACACUUCCUCAUUUGGAGACUGUACGUUGAGAUGCCCUCCGUCCCUGCUGCAAAGCGUGGGCUCAUACCUGAUACUGGUCCUAUGGGGUCAUCACUCAGGGCUGCACCUCACAGAGUAAGACAAGGUCAAAGGCAACAGCAAGGAGACAAUCAACCAACAGUCGGUCUCAUCCAGGUGCGAAGCGUCCGCCUGCCGCCUCGGAGCCGGUUUGGGCUGCAAGAAACAGAAAACGCAACUCUUCUCUGGCUUGAAAAAGAAGUGUAUUGACUCAAAUGACUGAAGAGCCCAGACGGUCACUCGUUCCCUGUCCUCCCCCACGCUGCUCCCCAUCUGUCCUGCACACGCAUCAUCGUCCUCAGUCGCGUGGCUCCCGGGGGACUCGGGCCGUGGGACUGGAGGCGAGUCGGCCUGUGUUUGUCCAGCUCAGCUGAAGUGAGGGGCGCUGCAGCUGGGAACCCCAUCCCGAGGUCCGUCUCCUCGGGGAUUUCGGACACAAUCCAGGAGCGUCACAAACGUGCUUGAUGCUGGGAAAACACAGAUUCUGGUCCGGACGAAGCCAGCGUCUUCUCAGGAACGACGGGGGCUCCAAGCUGCCUCCUGGAGGAGGUUGGGAGGUUUUCACAGCUGUGGGGAAGGAACGUUACCUUCCUGGGCCGCGCCGCUUUGGUCCUGCUCGGGGAUUCCCUUCCCCAUGGCUGGAACCUCCGGCAGAGCAGAAGGUAGUUUCCCGCCAUUCGUUCCACAAAGGCCCAUCGAGUGCCAAAUACGCUGUGGUUCUUGUUCUAGGGCCCCAGGGAUACGAGGGGGACAAAGCAGCCAAAAUCACUACCCACAGGGGCAUAUUUUCCAGAAGCCUCUCUUUGGCGAUAAUCUGCUCGUCUUGCGAGACCCGCCUCGGAAAUGCGUCCUUCGUGCGGGCAGCGUUCUGUCAGUGAGAACGUGGAGUUGCUCUUCAUCCAUUUGUUUCAGGACAGGAAGCGAGGGACAAGGACGCAAACACGCCUGGCAAAUACUCUCUGCCAAAGACCUUCUCCGGUGCUACACGCUACGGUCUCCUGAAAAGCACAUGGCGGGGUUGUGUCUGGGACUCUAGCCCUUGAUUCAGAGCUCGGACUCAUGCAGGAAGUCAAUGUGGGAUUUUGAAUUAUGGAACCGGUGGGCAAUACAUGAAUAAAUUAAAGGGGGACCCACAUGUGAAUGAACCUCGUUGCGCUCUUCUCCUCUGACUGCUGAUCUCAUCCUCCUCCGCGGCUCUCACCCUCAUCUUUGUGGAGGAAACGCUUCUACCCGUGGUUGCCAGGUACGGUUGCUCGGUCUGCACGCUGCACAAGGUUGCCAGCCCUAAAGGGGCACCAUUCACACUGCAGACGUGCGCUAGCUGAUAUGAGAGUGUGGGCAGGGGUAGAGCUUGUGGGUCUCACCGCCGAGCCUGGGGCAGCGGGAAGGAGACUCCUCGUACACGCGGCCACGUACAUGCUGGAGCCGCGUCCUGCUUUGAGCAUGUUCUGGGGUUCCUCUGAAGUCCCUGCUCCCACCAAGGCCCACAUCUCAUCCUUGCCUAAGGAUCCUGCCUCUGAUGAGGGUGGCCUCAUCAGGGAGGCAGUGGGACGUGCAGGGGGUGCGUGCUGCUGGCGUUGGAGUAGAUGGGAUGUGAUGCGCGUUCACUGCUGCUUCCGAUGGCCUCUGGAUGCCCCCCCCACCCCUCCCCCACCAGCCGAGCUAAGCUGAGGCCACAGGGAGUCUUUUCUUCUGAGAAGAACUCUUGCCCGGCCCCUCCCCUUUACAGGAGUUAUCUGAUGUGGCCCGAAAGGGUAUCUAUUCACAUUCCUGCUUUGCCCCAGGCCAGCUUGUGCCAUAACGUAUUCCAACUUGCCAAAAGGCAGUGAAGAAAGGGAUGCCUUGAAAAAUCAUUUCCCAAACGUUUAGUGCCAACCUGUAUAGGCCUCAAGGGCAGAUCUGAAUCCGCAGCCCCCUUCUGGCAUCCCGCGUGCAGUUAGGAAAGAUUCCGCAGCGCACCUGUGACUGCUCUGGGCCAGCGACAUGGCCGAGGUCACCCCCGCCUCACCCCCCGCGGAGUGUCCCGGGGUGGAGGAGUGACCUUGUUCUACGGGAGACCGUGCGGUCACAAAGCGGCCGAGCGGGAACCAGGGGAGAGCGGUGACGGCUGAGGCUGGUGAGAAGCUGCCUGCCACCGUCACCCCCCGUGAGGACAAUGGUCACAGUUUAACCGCAAAGCAGCUCCCCGUCGACCCCCUGCUUGUUCCAGGAACCGCCCCCACAGGACCCCGUCUCCAGCAUUCAGCAGAUCCUGCCUCGUUUGGAGCAUCGCCCAAAUGCUUGCUUGCCGCUCACAGCUGGGGACGGCCACAUCUCCCCGCAGACCCGCGACCGAGUCUCUCCCACCCCCAAACCCGCCUUAGCGGGGUGCUGGUCCACGCGAGAGUGUUCGGCGUUUCCUCUGUUUGCCAACCGUCUCCUUUCCAGCACCUUAGCCCUGACGGAGCAAACGUGAUCACAGAUGGGCUCGCCGCUGCAGGUUUAUGAAUAAACGGCCUGCAUGCAUUAUGAUUUUA